rnacentral:rRNA from 1 species
AGUGAACGCUGGCGGCAGGCCUAAUACAUGCAAGUCGAACGGCAGCACAGCAGAGCUUGCUCUGUGGGUGGCGAGUGGCGGACGGGUGAGGAAUACAUGGGAAUCUGCCCAGUCGUGGGGGAUAACGUAGGGAAACUUACGCUAAUACCGCAUGCGCCCUUCGGGGGAAAGCCGGGGACCUUCGGGCCUGGCGCGAUUGGAUGAGCCCAUGUCGGAUUAGCUAGUUGGCGGGGUAAUGGCCCACCAAGGCGACGAUCCGUAGCUGGUCUGAGAGGAUGAUCAGCCACACUGGAACUGAGACACGGUCCAGACUCCUACGGGAGCAGCAGUAGGGAAUAUUGGACAAUGGGCGCAAGGCCUGAUCCAGCCGUGCCGCGUGAGUGAAGAAGG